CUCAAAUCUAACGAACGAACAUCAGGUGACCUCCAAUCAAGUUGUAGAAACAUCUCAAGGAUGAUCAAUGGAAACAGGAUGCACCUGAGCUCAAUUUCGAGUCUCAUAGGAAAGGGUUUGAAUACUUACGUAAAUAUGGAAGGGGGCAGAGUGAGACCAGCCUCUCUCUUCUCUAGUACUAAAAAUUGCCGGCAUCAUUGGUGAUACGGCAGUGACAGGGAUACUACAGGGGGGUGACAGUGACCACAGCCCCGUGUCUGACUCAAGGCCAUCGCAAGUUCAGGUUGAAGAGUGACUAGCAGAGAUCCAGUGCCACCCAGAGGGAGUCAACUCAUGCCAGUGCCACCCAGGGGGAGUCAACUCAUGCCAGUGCCACCCAGGGGGAGUCAACUCAUGCCAGUGCCACAUCAAGUAGGGAGCCAAGGGUGCUGACUGAUACGGUCCUGAAAAAACAAGAUGCCAUCAAUAACUCCAUCCUCCAAAUGAACAAUAAAUUGAAUGUGAUUUGCAUUCCAUUAAAUAACACAAAGGAUUCGCUAAAGCAACUGGUCACAUGUGCAAAUCAAAUGUUCUCUUGGAUGAAUAAAUUAUCUAAACUACAA
rnacentral:lncRNA from 1 species